GGUAGCGUGGCCGAGCGGUCUAAGGCGCUGGUUUAAGGCACCAGUCUCUUUGGAGGCGUGGGUUCAAAUCCCACGCUGCCA
rnacentral:tRNA from 1 species